GCAGGUGUAGUUCAUCGGUAGAAUGAGAGCUUCCCAAGCUUUAGAGGUGGGUUCGAUUCCCAUCACCUGCUCCA
rnacentral:tRNA from 1 species